GCAAGUAGAAUAGCAGGCUUAUCACAUGUUCCAUUCAAUCCGCUGUGAGAUUCUUCUAUUCUACUUUCGACAAACACCCGUUGACAUCUUAUAAAGCAGCAAAGAUCAGGGCAUUCGACAGGGGGGGAGCGGCACCCACCCCACAUAUCAAACCUGCUGCUGGUGAAAUCAAUUCAAUAUCGCCCCACCUCGCCGAUAAGAGCGGGCAUUUCUUCACGUAGCACUCUAUGGAAUCAGCUUUCAUCGAUAAGCAAUUUCUUUUGCGCCCUGGCCCCAGGACCAUACCAGGACCCAGGACCCAGGACCCAGGACCAGGACCAAGUCAAAGCUGACGCCUCGCCUCGUCUGAACUCUGGCCUCCCCCUGCCUGCUCCCAGGGCAGGGAUGCCACCCAUCCCGAUCCGACUCGAUGCUGUUGCAAUAUUAUGACUCCUGCUGUUUGUUCUGACAGCUGGCUGGGAGGAUGGGGGAGGGGCCGGGGAAAAGCGGCAAAAGAAAUGUUUAUUGUGAAGCAUUUUCUAUGGCAAUUGCAACAAGCCUGCCCCGGACCCGGCCCCGUCCCCGUCCCCGGCCCCGACAGCUCGCUCCAGCCAUUCGCAUUAAAUGAGGAAACCAAUUAUUCGCGCUUAUAAAGAUUUACCGCCAUACACUCGCGCGCACACGGAGUUAGACAGUUGG